rnacentral:rRNA from 1 species
CCUACGGGAGGCAGCAGUAGGGAAUCUUCCACAAUGGGCGAAAGCCUGAUGGAGCAACGCCGCGUGGGUGAAGAAGGUCUUCGGAUCGUAAAACCCUGUUGUUAGAGAAGAAAGUGCGUGAGAGUAACUGUUCACGUUUCGACGGUAUCUACCCAGAAAGCCACGGCUAACUACGUGCCAGCAGCCGCGGUAAUACGUAGGUGGCAAGCGUUAUCCGGUAUUAUUGGGCGUAAAGGGAACGCAGGCGGUCUUGUAAGUCUGAUGUGAAAGCCUUCGGCUUAACCGGCGUAGGGCAUUGGAAACUGGGAGACUAGAGUGAAGAAGAGGAGAGUGGAACUCCAGGUGUAGCAGUGAAAUGCGUAGAUAUAGGGAAGAACACCAGUGGCGAAGGCGGCUCUCUGGUCUGUAACUGACGCUGAGGUUCGAAAGCGUGGGUAGCAAACAGGAUUAGAUACCCGUGUAGUC